UCCUCACUGACAUCAAUCUACCUUGCCACCCUCUGUAAGGCUGAUGAUAUCAAAAAGUUUGAUUAUAGUGCUGUUUUACACCCACUAUUAAAAUAACUUGGCAGCCUAGAAGAGGAUGGACUUUACAUUCCUUCAUUAGCCAUACAUGUCAAAGGUACUGUGUAUUAGGUUGUUGCAGAUAACCUUGGUGCCCACUCUAUUGGAGGAUUUGUGGAGAGCUUCUCUAGUACACGUCUGCAGGUUCUGUCUUGGAUAAAGAUCCCAGUUUCAAGAAAAGCACCAGUUAAUGGGUGCAUACCAUCUACGUGCCAGUAAGAUUGUUCAACCAUCUCUACAGGUAACAAAACUGUCAACAGUGGAUUUGAGUGUGCUGAGGGAAGACAUUAAGAACGCACUGGAAACCAAAUUCCCUGAUAAAUGAAGAAUUCAGAAGGAUCACCACUAUUAACCUGGAGCCAACGUUCAUGGCAAACUGGACCAGUACACACUAAAAAUAAUGUCCUUGGUGUCCUUAAGAGGAGGGAUUUCAAAAAUGAAGAUUCAGCGCAUAAGAAACAUGCUG
ensembl:lncRNA